GCGACAACUACCGCGGCGGCGGCGGCGGCAACUGGGGCCAGCAGCAGCCGCAGCCCUGGUCCGGCGGCUACCAGCAGCAGUGGGGACAGCAGGGCUGGGGCGGCUACGGCCAGCAGUACGGCCAGCAAUAUGGUCAGCAGGCCGGCUACGGCCAGCAGUACGGCCAACAGGCCGGCUACGGCCAGCAGUACGGCCAGAGCGGCUACGGCCAGCAGUACGGACAGCAGGGCGGCUACGGCCAGCAGGGCUACGGCCAAUACUACCAGGGCUACGGUCAGGGCUACGGCCAGUCCGGGUCGUACGGCUCGCAGGGCGGCGCCGGCGGCAACUACGGCCGCUCCUAGGCGGCCACAGAUGGCACCACCUGCGCGUACAUUUCCAUCGCAUCUCCGCACGGGCCGCGGGCGCGCCGCCGCCCGACAGCGAGGCGUCAGUCGGAAGGUCACGGCCGACCCCCGCCCGAGCGGCGCGCGCGCGUGCGGACCCGGUUCUUGUGUGUAACCAAGCGCGGCGGCGAACUCGGCGAGGUACUUUUAGUUCUGGGCGAGGCGCGCCGGCUAGUUCCACGGCUAUUGAUUUGUACCUGCGUCGUUGUGUGUGUGUGUGCGUGUACGUGGCCGGUGUAAUCACCACUGUGCGUGGAUCAGAACGCCUUGUUUCUAGCUGUGUAAGCGAGACAAAAGUCGUGGUGGCCGGAUCGGAACAAUGCGUCGCUCCCGUGUAUUUUUACCAUUAAUUCCCUUCGUAACGACGGUUUGGACAUUUGUUUUUAACGCUAGAACAUCACUCAUGUGUGUCGUGCCCCGCUAGAGCUGGCACGCCCGAAUGCAUGGCUUCAGGAAGCGUGGUGGGGUUGUCGGCUUUGGUUUCCAGCGGGAUUCUCCAUCGAAGCUUUGGAACCGGAUCGUAAACGUUUAAAGUACAAGAUUUGGGAGAGUGUUGAUGUUCAAUUGCACACAUACACAUAAAUUUUCAUC